rfam:Anolis carolinensis mitochondrion, complete genome.
AAAGUAGAGGCGAUCGAACCUUAACCGUAGAGUUUUAUUGAUAGUACCGCAAGGGAAAAAUGAAAUAAUAGUGAAAACAAAAGCAAAACAUAGCAAAGACUUCCCCUUGUACCUCUUGCAUCACGAUCUAGCAAGCAUAAAACAAGCAAGAAGAAAACACAGCCUGUUUCCCCGAACUCAAGUGAGCUAUUUUAAAGCAACUAAAGAGUUAACCCGUCCCUGUAGCAAAAGGGUGGGAAGACUUUAAAAUAGAGGUGAAAAGCCAACCGAACUUGCUGAUAGCUGGUUACCAGAUAGACGAAUUUUAGUUCAACUUAAAACUUUAUUAACCCGCCCUUAGUAAAAACUUAGUUUUUAAGAUACUCAAUGAGGGGACAGCCUUAUUGAGCCAGAAUACAGCCUGAACUAGAGAGAAACCUCAACAAAAACAACAGUAGGCCUUAAAACAGCCAUCUAAUAUAAUAACGUCGCAGUCUUCAUAAUCAAAAUACCAACCGCACUUUAAAACUCCUAUACUACCACCUGGUAAUUCAAUAAAUUUAUAGAAGAUACUAUGCUAGAACUAGUAACAAGAAAUUUUCUCUCACGCACAACCAUAAAUCAGACAUAGAAAAACUACUGAAAAUUAACAAAACAAUAAAAACAACUUACAUAGUAUAUUACUAGCUGUUAACCCAACACAGGUGUGCAUAAAAGAAAGAUUAAAAGUUAAAAAAGGAACUCGGCAACAAACAAAUUUCAACUGUUUACCAAAAACAUAGCCUUUAGCAAACCAAGUAUUAAAGGUAACGCCUGCCCAGUGAAACUUAAACGGCCGCGGUAUUCUAACCGUGCAAAGGUAGCGUAAUCACUUGUCUCCUAAAUAGGGACCUGUAUGAACGGCUAAAUGAAUAUUUAACUGUCUCUUUUAACUAAUCAGUGAAACUGAUCUUCCAGUACAAAAGCUGGGAUAAUAAUAUAAGACGAGAAGACCCUGUGGAGCUUUAAAUUUCAACCAACAUAUAAUUAUCACAGUUAUUUAUGCUUAACAUUUUAAGUUGGGGCGACUUCGGAUAAAAACUAAACAUCCGAGCAAAUAAGGCACUGCCUAAAAAAGGCCUACAAGCCAAAGCUAAUAUUGACCCAGUAAUACUGAUUAACGAACCAAGUUACCCCAGGGAUAACAGCGCCAUCUUCUUUAAGAGUUCAUAUCGACAAGAAGGUUUACGACCUCGAUGUUGGAUCAGGACACCCAAAUGGUGCAGCCGCUAUUAAAGGUUCGUUUGUUCAACGAUUAACAGUCCUACGUGAUCUGAGUUCAGACCGGAGCAAUCCAGGUCGGUUUCUAUCUAUACAGUUGCUUUCUUUAGUACGAAAGGACCAAGAAAGCAGGACCAAUAUAACCUACGUCCUUUACAAUAGAUUAAAAAAAACUAAAAUUUAACAAACAACAAAUUUUCCCCUAGACAUAGGGGUUAGUUAGAGUGGCAGAGCCAGGUAAUGUAAAAGACCUAAGACCUUUCAAACAGAAGUUCAAAUCUUCUCUUU